rnacentral:rRNA from 1 species
AGAGUUUGAUCCUGGCUCAGAACGAACGCUGGCGGCAGGCCUAACACAUGCAAGUCGAGCGCGCCCUUCGGGGUGAGCGGCGGACGGGUUAGUAACGCGUGGGAACGUGCCCAGAUCUAAGGAAUAGCCACUGGAAACGGUGAGUAAUACCUUAUACGCCCUUCGGGGGAAAGAUUUAUCGGAUUUGGAUCGGCCCGCGUUAGAUUAGGUAGUUGGUGGGGUAAUGGCCUACCAAGCCUACGAUCUAUAGCUGGUUUUAGAGGAUGAUCAGCAACACUGGGACUGAGACACGGCCCAGACUCCUACGGGAGGCAGCAGUGGGGAAUCUUGGACAAUGGGGGCAACCCUGAUCCAGCCAUGCCGCGUGAGUGAUGAAGGCCUUAGGGUCGUAAGCUCUUUCGCCUGUGAUGAUAAUGACAGUAGCAGGUAAAGAAACCCCGGCUAACUCCGUGCCAGCAGCCGCGGUAAUACGGAGGGGGUUAGCGUUGUUCGGAAUUACUGGGCGUAAAGCGCGCGUAGGCGGAUUAGUCAGUUAGAGGUGAAAUCCCAGGGCUCAACCCUGGAAACUGCCUUUAAUACUGCUAGUCU